CAAGAGGCAAUUGAAUUGCAUUGUUAUUCCACCCUUCUUCCUGGGAACUCGGGACACAAAAGGCCAUAGCUACCUAGCUCAGAUGCUGAUCUUUGUUGAGAGUCGGCCUUUUGUUGUUGCUAUUGAUUUUCUUUUUUUAAUGCUUCAUAAUCCAAAGCAAAGUCGGAAUCGUUCGAAGGACGUCUCUUAUUUCUCUGGCUUUGUCUCUUAUUCCUCUGACAAAACGACAGAUAAGACUCGCAACAGAAAGGGCAUCCUUAAGUAUUCUUCUUUGAUGGAGUAGAUGUCUGAUGUUCUCUUGCGUUGCAAAUCCACAAAAAAAAUCACUUCUGUAGAA